rnacentral:rRNA from 1 species
AAUUCGAUUAGAGUUUGAUCAUGGCUCAGGAUGAACGCUGGCGGCGUGCUUAACACAUGCAAGUCGAACGAACCUUCGGGUUAGUGGCGGACGGGUGAGUAACGCGUGAGAAUCUGCCCUCAGGAGGGGGAUAACGGUUGGAAACGACCGCUAAUACCCCAUAUGCCUACUGGUGGAAUGAAUUUCGCCUGAGGAUGAGCUCGCGUCUGAUUAGCUAGUUGGUGAGGUAAUGGCUCACCAAGGCUUCGAUCAGUAGCUGGUCUGAGAGGAUGAUCAGCCACACUGGGACUGAGACACGGCCCAGACUCCUACGGGAGGCAGCAGUGGGGAAUUUUCCGCAAUGGGCGAAAGCCUGACGGAGCAACGCCGCGUGAGGGACGAAGGCCUCUGGGCUGUAAACCUCUUUUCUCAAGGAAGAAGAUAUGACGGUACUUGAGGAAUAAGCCACGGCUAAUUCCGUGCCAGCAGCCGCGGUAAUACGGGAGUGGCAAGCGUUAUCCGGAAUUAUUGGGCGUAAGGCGUCCGCAGGCGGCUUUUCAAGUCUGCUGUUAAAGAGUGGAGCUUAACUCCAUCAUGGCAGUGGAAACUGAAAGGCUAGAGUAUGGUAGGGGCAGAGGGAAUUCCCGGUGUAGCGGUGAAAUGCGUAGAUAUCGGGAAGAACACCAGUGGCGAAGGCGCUCUGCUGGGCCAUUACUGACGCUCAUGGACGAAAGCCAGGGGAGCGAAAGGGAUUAGAUACCCCUGUAGUCCUGGCCGUAAACGAUGAACACUAGGUGUCGGGGGAAUCGACCCCUUCGGUGUCGUAGCUAACGCGUUAAGUGUUCCGCCUGGGGAGUACGCACGCAAGUGUGAAACUCAAAGGAAUUGACGGGGGCCCGCACAAGCGGUGGAGUAUGUGGUUUAAUUCGAUGCAACGCGAAGAACCUUACCAGGGUUUGACAUCCUGCGAACCUCUUAGAAAUUUGAGGGUGCCUUCGGGAAUGCAGUGACAGGUGGUGCAUGGCUGUCGUCAGCUCGUGUCGUGAGAUGUUGGGUUAAGUCCCGCAACGAGCGCAACCCACGUUUUUAGUUGCCAGCAUUUAGUUGGGCUCUCUAGAAAGACCGCCGGUGAUAAACCGGAGGAAGGUGUGGAUGACGUCAAGUCAUCAUGCCCCUUACACCCUGGGCUACACACGUACUACAAUGCUACGGACAAAGGGCAGCAAACUCGCGAGAGCUAGCAAAUCCCAUAAACCGUGGCUCAGUUCAGAUCGUAGGCUGCAACUCGCCUACGUGAAGUAGGAAUCGCUAGUAAUCGCAGGUCAGCAUACUGCGGUGAAUACGUUCCGCGGGCCCUUGUAGACACC